UCGACGCCGAGGGCAAGGGCGAGGAAGCCAUCGCGAUUCUCAGGACCAUGCUCGAAGAGACCGCCAAGCGCAGCUACACGAACGGCGAGAAGGCCAGCCGGUUCAUGCUCAUCGAGCGGCUGUCGGAACUUUAUACGGAUACCAAGCAGUACGCCAAGGCGGCCGAGGCGCUCCGCCAGAUCGCCGAGAUCGAGCCGUCCCAGGGACCGCGCGUGUCGGCGAAUAUUGUCCAGACGUAUCGGAUCGGGAAGAUUACGCCGCGGCUCAGACCGAGGCGGACGCCGCGUUGAAGAAGUAUCCCACGGACCGGACGGUGAAGGUGGUGCAUGCGUCGCUGCUCGCCGACCGCGGCCUUGUCGACGAAGCCGCCGCCGAGGUUCGCGGCAUGCUCAACGGCGACAAGGACCGCGAGACCUACCUGGUGCUGUCGCAGAUCUACGAAAAGGGGCAAGAAGUACGCGGAGAUGGAAAAGGCUCUCGAUGCGGCCGAGAAGAUGUCGGAGAGCAAGCCCGACAAGGAAGCGGUCUACUUCGCGCGCGGCGCGAUGUUCGAGAAGCAGAAGAAGUACGCGCAGGCCGAAGCGGAGUUCCGCAAGGUCAUCGAUUCGAAUCCGCGGAGAGCCGACGCGCUAAAUUAUCUGGGAUACAUGUUCGCCGACCGCCGGAGUGAAUCUCGAAGAGGCGGAUAAGCUGAUCCGAAAGGCGCUCGAGAUCGACCCCCAGAAACGGCGCGUUUCUCGACAGCUUGGGCUGGGUGAACUAUCGCCUGAACAAACUUGACGAGGCGGAGCAGAACCUUCGCGAAUCGAUCGAGGUCAUGUCGGGCGACGCGACGGUUUACGACCACUUGGGGCGACGUCUACCUCAAAAACGGGAAGGUGAAGGAAGCGAUCGUUCAAUGGCAGCUCUCGCUGAAGGAGUGGGAGAAGUCGCCGCAGUCGGAAGUGGACCCGGCCGAGGUCGCCAAGGUUACCAAGAAGCUCGAAAGCGCCCGCAUACGGCUUUCGAAGGAGCCGCCUUUCAGCAACGAGAAACAGCGGUAGCGCGCGGACCGAUCUGGUAUCAUGCGCUCAUGCGCUUCCUCGUCUCUCUCGCCAUAAUACUGCCUCUGUUUGCCCAGGAUCCGCCGCCCGCCGCACAGAAGAGGGGCCGCCCGUUUUCCGAAACCUGAAAGUGCUGACGGCCCGAGGAAGAACGUCCCAUGAUGGGCGGGAUGCGGGCGUCGUUGGGUGUCAUGUGCACGCAUUGCCACGUGCAGGAUCGGGCGAGCGACGAGAAUCCGAAGAAAGUGAUCGCGCGGUCGAUGAUGACCAUGGUGAAGGAAAUCAACG
rnacentral:misc_RNA from 1 species